rnacentral:rRNA from 1 species
AUGGGGAUCCCUACCGAGGAAGAUCCCAAAGAGAUGAAGAACCACCAAAACUCUGUGGAUGAAAUGGAGAUGAAGGUGGUCAAGUUUUCGCGGGGGAAGGCUGCUAAUUUGGCGGCUCUGCGUGAUAAGAAAUUGAAAGGGCAGCUCACCGGAAAAGAGAAGUUAAUCGGAAUAUCUGCCAAAGCUGCUGCGCAAGCUGAAAAGUGGUUUUUACCUAUUGAGGGGGGCUACUUGGAGCCUGAAGAUUUGGAGAAGACAUAUAGAUUUACGCAGCCACAGAUAGCUAGCAUUGUCGACAUUUCGAGUGCAAGAAAACCAUUUGAUAUGGUCUUACCUGCACUUGGUCCUUAUACUCUAGAGUACACCUCAAAUGGUCGCUACAUGAUAGUAGGUGGGCGAAAAGGUCAUAUUGGUAUGAUGGAUAUGUUGAGUAUGGAUCUCAUCAAGGAGUUUCAGGUGAGGGAAACUGUGCGCGAUGUGGCAUUCUUACACAAUGAGCAACUCUUUGCAGUCGCCCAGAAGAAGUACCCCUACAUAUACAAUCGUCAUGGCACAGAAAUUCACUGUUUGAAGGAACAUGGCGAAGCGCUGAAACUUCAGUUUCUGGAUAAACACUUCCUCUUGGCAUCGAUAAACAGCUUUGGGCAGCUCCACUACCAAGAUAUGAGCACCGGCGAGAUGAUUGCAAAUCACAGGACAGGUCUAGGGCCUACAGAUGUUAUGCGUGUAAAUCCGUACAACGCUGUCAUUGGCCUUGGGCAUGCUGAUGGCAAAGUUACCAUGUGGAAGCCAACCAGCGUGAAGCCACUUGUCACAAUGCUGUGCCAUAAUGGCCAUGUGACUGCUGUUGCAUUUGAGAGGGGUGGUCAUCUUAUGGCAACUGCAGGUGUUGACAAGAAGAUUAAGAUUUGGGAUCUCAGGAAGUACGAGGUUGUGCAUACACACGCUGCACGAGCUGAGUCCUUGGAUUUCAGCCAGAAGGGGUUGUUGGCCGCCAGUAAUGGAUCCCUAGUAGAGAUAUACAGGGAUGUGGGGGGCCAUGAUUAUAAAGUUUAUAUGAAGCAUAGGAUGGUAAAGGGAUAUCAGGUCGGGAAGGUUUUGUUCCGCCCUUACGAGGAUAUCUGUUCGAUUGGGCACUCCACGGGGUUUUCUUCCAUUCUCGUUCCUGGAUCAGGCGAGGCCAACUUUGAUACCUUUGUUGAGAACCCUGUGGAGACUGCCAAGCAAAGGAGGGAGAGGGAGGUGCAUGCUCUCCUCAAUAAGCUUCAGCCGGAGACUGUGAUGCUCAACCCAAAUAUGAUCGGUAACGUGAGACAGCCAAAGAAGAAAGAGAAGAAGACCAAAAAAGAAGUUGAAGAGGAGAUUGAAGAUGCGGUGGAGGCCGCCAAGAGCACGAAGGUGAAGAAUAAGACCAAGGGCAGGAGCAAACCCAGCAAGCGGGCCAAGAAGAAGGAAGAAGAGGUCCUCAGAGCCAAGAGGCCUCUACUGGACCAGUACAAGGAAAUCGGCGGGCAUCCCGACAAGAAACAGCGGGUAGGCGACAAGGCCGAGCUGCCAAAGGCCCUGCAGCGGUUUGCCAAGAACAAGCAAUCAUGA